rnacentral:lncRNA from 1 species
AUGAGGCAUUGCCAGACCCCACUGGGUUACAGCCUGGCCACCCCAGACCUACUGGAUAACUCCAGCUUCCCAAAAAUCCCAGCUGAAUGCAGGUCUAGGAAAGGCAGCAGACAGAGGCAAGAAGGAUUGUCCCCAGGAGCUGUUCCUGCCCUCCGUGGGUACUUCUGCACCAGCAAACUCCAGAGGGGCCCUGAGUCCAGAGACCUCAAGUGCAGUCAGCUCUUUGUAAGGAGGGACACAGUGUGCAAUCCCUGGCCUUGGGGGAUGCCCAUGGGCUCACCCCAGCCCUGA